AGAGUUUGAUUCUGGCUCAGAACGAACGCUGGCAGCGUGGAUUAGGCAUGCAAGUCGAACGAGAAGUUCGUUGCUCAAUCUUUCGAGAGAGAGCGGCGGAUGGAGAGUGGCGGAAGGGUGAGUAACGCGUGGGUAAUUUGCCUCCGAGUUCGGGAUAACUUUUCGAAAGGGAAGCUAAUACCGGAUACGGUUUUCCGACGCAUGUCGGAAAAACCAAAGGCGGGGACCCUUCGGGGCCUGUCGCUGGGAGAGAAGCCCGCGUCCCAUCAGCUUGUUGGCAGGGUAACGGCCUACCAAGGCUUACGGGUAGCUGGUCUGAGAGGAUGAUCAGCCACACUGGGACUGAGACACUGCCCAGACUCCUACGGGAGGCUGCAGUCGAGGAUCAUUUGCAAUGCGCGAAAGCGUGACAAUGCGACGCUGCGUGGAGGAUGAAGGCUUUCGGGUCGUAAACUCCUGUCAUUCGGGAACAAACCUGUCAGGUUAACACCCUGGCGGGGUGAGGGUACCGAAAGAGGAAGCCACGGCUAACUCUGUGCCAGCAGCCGCGGUAAUACAGAGGUGGCUAGCGUUGUUCGGAUUUACUGGGCGUAAAGGGUGCGUAGGCGGUAUCGUGUGUCGGACGUGAAAGCCCAUGGCUCAACCAUGGAAUGGCAUCCGAAACUGCGAUACUUGAGGACAGGAUGGGAGAGCGGAAUUCUUGGUGUAGCGGUGAAAUGCGUUGAUAUCAAGAAGAACACCGGUGGCGAAGGCGGCUCUCUGGAAUGUUUCUGACGCUGAGGCACGAAAGUUGGGGUAGCAAACAGGAUUAGAUACCCUGGUAGUCCCAACCGUAAACGUUGUGAACUUGGUGUGGGGGGAAUUGACCCCCUCCGUACCGGAGCUAACGCGUUAAGUUCACCGCCUGGGGAGUACGGCCGCAAGGCUAAAACUCAAAGAAAUUGACGGGGGCCCGCACAAGCGGAGGAGCAUGUGGCUUAAUUCGAUGCAACGCGAAGAACCUUACCAGGGCUUGACAU
rnacentral:rRNA from 1 species